rnacentral:rRNA from 1 species
GACGUAGGGUGCGAGCGUUGUCCGGAUUUAUUGGGCGUAAAGAGCUCGUAGGCGGCUUGUCGCGUCGUCGUGUGAAAAUCCGCGGCUCAACUGCGGGUCUGCAGUCGAUACGGGCAGGCUAGAGUUCGGUAGGGGAGACGUGGAAUUCCUGGUGUAGCGGUGAAAUGCGCAGACUAUCAGGAGGAACACCGGUGGCGAAGGCGGAUCUCUGGGCCGUAACUGACGCUGAGGAGCGAAAGCAUGGGGAGCGAACAGG